UGUCCCUGACUCAGCACAAUUCCCAAUUCCUGUCUCGUCCAUCACCACAUUGAAGACGGUUGGUCAGCCAGAGAGAGAUGGAGAGUGAGAUCUGGAGCCUUCAGUAAAUCCUGCAGCCGGUACUCGGGAAGUUCCUGACUCAAUAGACUUCCCAACUGCUGUGCGUCUCAUCCAUCACCUCAUUGAAGAUGGUUGGUCAGCCAGGGAGACAAAGGGCAGGGAGAUCUGGAGCCUUUAAUAAAUCCUGCAGUGAGGUACUCAGGAAGGUUCAGACUCGAUUAACUUCCCAGCUGCUGGGUGUCUCGUCCAUCAUCACAUUGAAGAUAGUUGGUCAGCCAGAGAGACAAAAGAGAGGGAGAUCUGCAGCCUUCAAUAAAUCCUGCAGUGAGGUAUUACGAAGGUCCUGAUUCAAUAGACUUCCCAGCUGCUGGGUGUCUUGCUAAUCGCCACAUUGAAGAUGGUUGAUCAGCCAGGGAGACAAAGGGAAGGGAGAUUUGGAGUCUUCAAUAAAUCUGGA